GACGAACGCUGGCGGCGUGCUUAACACAUGCAAGUCGAGCGAGAAACCUUCGGGUUUCUAGCGGCGGACGGGUGAGUAACACGUGGGUAACCUGCCUCAAAGAGGGGGAUAGCCUUCCGAAAGGAAGAUUAAUACCGCAUAAUAUUACAGUUUCGCAUGAAGCAGUAAUUAAAGGAGUAAUCCGCUUUGAGAUGGACCCGCGGCGCAUUAGCUAGUUGGAGAGGUAACGGCUCACCAAGGCAACGAUGCGUAGCCGACCUGAGAGGGUGAUCGGCCACAUUGGAACUGAGACACGGUCCUGACUCCUACGGGAGGCAGCAGUGGGGAAUAUUGCACAAUGGGCGAAAACCUGAUGCAGCAACGCCGCGUGAGUGAUGAAGGUCUUCGGAUUGCAAAGCUCUGUCUUUUGGGACGAUAAUGACGGUACCAAAGGAGGAAGCCACGGCUAACUACGUGCCAGCCGCCGCGGUAA
rnacentral:rRNA from 1 species